GCUCACUUCAGUAGAACAUAUACUAAAAUUGGAACAGUAUAGAGAAGAUUAGCAUAUUCCCUGCGCAACGAUGACACCCAAAUCUAUGAAGUGCUCCAUGUUUUU
ensembl:snRNA U6 U6 spliceosomal RNA